ensembl:lncRNA
AAAUAAAACACAUAUACAACCUUCCCAUGUAUCAGUUAGCUUUGGCUAUAUAACAAACACCCCCAAAAUAUAGUGGCUUAAGAUGAAAACUGUGUAUUUAGUUUACAAGACUCUGGGUCAACAAUUUGGGUGGGGUUCAGCUGACCAGUUCUUCUGGCCUUGGCUGAGUCUACUCAGGGUCUGCGGUCAGCUGUGGGGUCAGUCAAGUCUGGGUGGCCUGGGGACCUAAGCUAGGAUGGCUCAUCUCUGCUCCAUACCCUCAGCCUCUGGCAGUGUGGCCUGGACUUACAUAGCAUCUAGGAAGAUUCCAAGAGAAUGAGGGGAAGGCUGUCAGGUCUCAAGGAUUAGCAAGAAACACCCAUCAAAGUAUGCAACCUCAAUGGCAACAGCAGAUGAAUCUAAUUAAAUCAGUUUCCAGUAUUUGCUGUCCGGGAACAGCUGUGUGUGAAGCACAUUUCCCCACCCCUUCCCACCACGUGAAUCACUGACAAGAGAAACCCAGAGCUCCACAGGCAGCCGCUUCAGAUCAUCCAGUCAGCGGGAGAGAGGGGACUAGUUUGCAAUCCUGCUUCUGAGUGAUUUCAUCUAAUAGACAAUUCUGAAGUCGGCCUCCAGGGAAUGAGGUGCAGGGGGGCUGAAGUUCCAUGCCUGACUGGGGAUGAUCCCACAUGCCAGCAGAGCAGCUAAGCCCACGGGCCAAAACUCCCGGAGCCUGCACUCUAGAGUUUAUGAGCCACAACAAGAGAAACCGCUGUGGUGAGAAGCCCGUGCACGUCAACAAAGAGUGGCUCCUGCUCUCUGCAACCAGAGAAAGCCCGUGUGCAACAAUGAAGACCCAGGGCAGGCAUAAAUAAAUGAAUUAAAAAACAAAUCUGUGUCAGGCAUAAUAUCCAGGUAAGGUUGCGGGAAGCAGACAGGAGGAAAGGGAGGCUGACUGAUGAUGGGCAGCCCAGCCUUUUCCCUGCUCAGAUUUGUUUUCCUGUAUCUUCCUACCUCAGCUGCCCCUUAUUCUUUUUUAUGGUGGCCUUUCACACUGAGACAUGUGACUGAUGAGAGCAGAGUUACGGUGCCUAAGAGCUUUCUCCCAGUCACCCUUUGAAGAUAACUGUUUAUAACAGAAGAUUGCAAAGACAUAGAAACAAUAGUAUCCUGAACCCCUAUUUAGCCAUCACCCAGCCUCAACAGCUGUCAGCUCAUUGCCAGUCUGGGUUCUUUAUCCCCCAGACCCCUCAGUCCCAGCAUCAGUGUUCACAAAUCCAAGACAUCAUAGUAUGUGCAGAGGGCUUUCUUCAGCCCAGUCAACCACGUCACGUGCUGGUGAAGAAGCUUCGGUGGCACGAGGUCCGGGCUGCUUGGUGUGUUAGACAAGGCCCCCUGCAACCUGCUACCACUCACCUUCUCAGCUUCUGUUUCUCCAUCCCCCAGCACACUCUACCCUUCCAGCCAUACUGAACAUUGUUCAUUCACCCAAAUGUGACAUUUUUUCCACCCGUCACUUCUUACGAGGAUUUCCUUGUUAGACUUCUCAUCCCCCAGCUGCAGUCAGCGGUUGUGUCUUUCUUUUUCCUCAGCCCCUAGAUGGAUUUAAACUCUCCUGUGGGCUCCAAUGGCAUCAAGACACUUAUUUAUUAUGCUGAUUUAUCAAAGGCGGCAUAUUUCUUACUACGAUAGGCACUGCUUUAGGAGUAUUCAAAAAAAAUUAGCUGAUUCAACCCACGUAAAACAAUUCUCAUGAGGUGAUAGAUGGAACAAGUGAGGCGCACAG